rnacentral:rRNA from 1 species
CCUACGGGAGGCAGCAGUGGGGAAUAUUGCGCAAUGGGCGAAAGCCUGACGCAGCGAAGCCGCGUGAGGGAUGAAGGUCUUCGGAUCGUUAACCUUUGUCAGCAGGGAAGAACGGUCACUGUGCUAAUCAGCAGUGAAUUGACGGUACCUGCAAAGGUAGGAUCGGCUAACUCCGUCCCCGCAGCUGCGGUAAUACGGAGGGUGCGAGCGCUAAUCGGAAUUACUGGGCGUAAAGCGCUCGUAGGCGGUAUGUCAAGUCAAGGGUGAAAUCCCCGCGCUCAACGUGGGCACUGCCUUUGAAACUGGCAGACUGGAGUGUGUGAGAGGAAAGUGGAAUGCCAGGUAUAGGAGUGAAAUCCGUAGAUAUCGGGAAGAACAUCAGUGGCGAAGGCGACAAUCUGGCACAUAACUGACGCUGAGGAGCGAAAGCGUGGGUAGCGAACAGGAUUAGAUACCCCUGUAGUC